rnacentral:rRNA from 1 species
GACGGACGCUGGCGGCGUGCUUAACACAUGCAAGUCGAACGGAAAGGCCCUGCUUGCAGGGUACUCGAGUGGCGAACGGGUGAGUAACACGUGGGUGAUCUGCCCUGCACUUCGGGAUAAGCCUGGGAAACUGGGUCUAAUACCGGAUAGGAGCCAUUUUUAGUGUGAUGGUUGGAAAGUUUUUUCGGUGUAGGAUGAGCUCGCGGCCUAUCAGCUUGUUGGUGGGGUAAUGGCCUACCAAGGCGGCGACGGGUAGCCGGCCUGAGAGGGUGGACGGCCACAUUGGGACUGAGAUACGGCCCAGACUCCUACGGGAGGAAGAAGUGGGGAAGAUUGAACAAGGGGCGCAGGCCUGAUGCAGCGACGCCGCGUGGGGGAUGACGGCCUUCGGGUUGUAGACUCCUUUCGCUAGGGACGAAGCUUUUUGUGACGGUACCUAGAUAAGAAGCACCGGCUAACUACGUG